GGGGGCUGGGGGCGCGCGGCGGGUGACUGCAACAAGCCUCCAGCCUUGGAAAAUGGCAUGCUAGAGGAUAAAUAUAUUUCAACGUCUACGUUUGAUAGUGGAAUCACGGUGCGUUACCGCUGUGUGCCAGGUUAUGUUAUGGCCUCAGGAAGCAGUUUUUCCAUUACUUGUAAAGGCACCGUAUGGGGACCAUUUCAGGCCAGGUGUCAGAUAAAGUCGUGUGGGAGUCCUGGGGAAAUUCUCAAUGGGAGAUACACGAGCACCGGCAAUACGUUUGGCAGUACCAUUACAUUUACUUGUGA